GGACUAUACACCUGACCUUCAACACCUCCAAAUCCAUACAAAUCCUCUUCCCCGCAUGCAUCCACGUGAGUUUCUCCAACAGCCAUUGCCUCCAUCUCCACCCAAUCGAGCAGUAGUUGAUCCUCGUCAAAUUCGUGCAUUGAUCGAUCAAGGUCUGAUCGGUUGUCGAUAAAAUCCACCAUCUCAACAGUUUCACUGUCGGGGAUCAGUUGAUCAGCGGGUAAGAUCUCAACUUCCAGAGAUUGGAUGAAACGGGAUAGCUUGGCAUCCUCCUCCUCAUCCUCCUCUGGGAAAGCUUCGUCUAGUAACUCCAUGAGCAUGGCAAUGUCGAUCUCUGGUACUUCGAUGCUUUCUGACUCUGAAUUGGACCCAAACUCAUUGACCCAACAGUCACUCGUUAGGGUUUCCAUGUGUGUUUUUAGGGUUUGGGGAGGAAAAAU
rnacentral:misc_RNA from 1 species